GGUCAAAAACUAGGUCAAAUAAUAGAAAAACCUUGUGUAGACAAUAGAGGUCGCAGUUUUCAUCCAAUCUUUAUGAAAUUUGGUCAGAAUGUUUAUCUUGAUGAAAUCUGGGUUGGGAUUGUAUUUGGGUCAUCUGAGGUCAAAAACUAGGUCACUAGGUCAAAUAAUAGAAAAACUGUCAACAAUUUGUUUGUGUAGACAGUAGAGGUCACAGUUUUCAUCCAAUCUUUAUGAAAUGUGGUCAGAAUGUUUAUCUUGAUGAAAUCUGGGUUGGGAUUGUAUUUGGGUCAUCUGGGGUCAAAAACUAGGUCAAUAGGUCAAAUAAUAGAAAAACCUUGUGUAGACAAUAGAGGUCGCAGUUUUCAUCCAAUCUUUAUGAAAUUUGGUCAGAAUGUUUAUCUUGAUGAAAUCUGGGUUGGGAUUGUAUUUGGGUCAUCUGAGGUCAAAAACUAGGUCACUAGGUCAAAUAAUAGAAAAACUGUCAACAAUUUGUUUGUGUAGACAGUAGAGGUCACAGUUUUCAUCCAAUCUUUAUGAAAUUUGGUCAGAAUGUUUAUCUUAAUGAAAUCUGGGUUGGGAUUGUAUUUGGGUCAUCUGGGGACAAAAACUAGGUCACUAGGUCAA